rnacentral:rRNA from 1 species
AACUUUCAACAACGGAUCUCUUGGUUCUGGCAUCGAUGAAGAACGCAGCGAAAUGCGAUACGUAGUGUGAAUUGCAGAAUUCAGUGAAUCAUCGAAUCUUUGAACGCACAUUGCGCCCUUUGGUAUUCCAAACAUU